UUGAACGCUGGCGGCAUGCCUUACACAUGCAAGUCGAACGGCAGCACGGGAGCAAUCCUGGUGGCGAGUGGCGAACGGGUGAGUAAUAUAUCGGAACGUGCCCAGUCGUGGGGGAUAACGUAGCGAAAGCUACGCUAAUACCGCAUACGAUCUAUGGAUGAAAGCGGGGGAUCGCAAGACCUCGCGCGAUUGGAGCGGCCGAUAUCAGAUUAGGUAGUUGGUGAGGUAAAGGCUCACCAAGCCGACGAUCUGUAGCUGGUCUGAGAGGACGACCAGCCACACUGGGACUGAGACACGGCCCAGACUCCUACGGGAGGCAGCAGUGGGGAAUUUUGGACAAUGGGCGCAAGCCUGAUCCAGCAAUGCCGCGUGCAGGAUGAAGGCCUUCGGGUUGUAAACUGCUUUUGUACGGAACGAAACGGUGAGCUCUAAUACAGUUUGCUAAUGACGGUACCGUAAGAAUGAGCACCGGCUAACUACGUG
rnacentral:rRNA from 1 species